rnacentral:tRNA from 1 species
CUUAGAUUAGUUUAAAAAAAAUUUUAAUUUGUGGUAUUAAGGAUGAUUUUGUCAUCUAAGU